rnacentral:tRNA from 1 species
GGCGCGGGCAGGAGCACCCUCGGUAGCUCGCUGGGCUCACAGCCCAGGCCGCAGGUUCAAAACCUGCCCCCGCCGCCA